rnacentral:rRNA from 1 species
AGUGAACGCUGGCGGUAGGCCUAACACAUGCAAGUCGAACGGCAGCACAGUAAGAGCUUGCUCUUACGGGUGGCGAGUGGCGGACGGGUGAGGAAUACAUCUGAAUCUACUUUUUCGUGGGGGAUAACGUAGGGAAACUUACACUAAUACCGCAUACGACCUACGGGUGAAAGCAGGGGAUCUUCGGACCUUGCGCGAUUGAAUGAGCCGAUGUCGGAUUAGCUAGUUGGCGGGGUAAAGGCCCACCAAGGCGACGAUCCGUAGCUGGUCUGAGAGGAUGAUCAGCCACACUGGAACUGAGACACGGUCCAGACUCCUACGGGAGGCAGCAGUGGGGAAUAUUGGACAAUGGGCGCAAGCCUGAUCCAGCCAUACCGCGUGGGUGAAGAAGGCCUUCGGGUUGUAAAGCCCUUUUGUUGGGAAAGAAAAGCAGCAGGUUAAUACCCCGCUGUUCUGACGGUACCCAAAGAAUAAGCACCGGCUAACUUCGUG